rnacentral:rRNA from 1 species
AGAUGGCGACCGGCGCACGGGUGAGUAACGCGUAUCCAACCUGCCGAUAACUCGGGGAUAGCCUUUCGAAAGAAAGAUUAAUACCCGAUGGCAUAAUAGAACCGCAUGGUUUGAUUAUUAAAGAAUUUCGGUUAUCGAUGGGGAUGCGUUCCAUUAGGCAGUUGGUGGGGUAACGGCCCACCAAACCUUCGAUGGAUAGGGGUUCUGAGAGGAAGGUCCCCCACAUUGGAACUGAGACACGAUCCAA